UUAGGAAUUUUGGGCAAUGGCCGCAAGGCUGACCCAGCAACGCCGCGUGGGGGACGAAGGCCUUCGGGUUGUAAACCCCUUUUCCCAGGGACGAUGAUGACGGUACCUGGGGAAGAAGCCCCGGCUAACUACGUGCCAGCAGCCGCGGUAAUACGUAGGGGGCGAGCGUUGUCCGGAAUCAUUGGGCGUAAAGCGCGCGUAGGCGGCCUGGCAAGUCGGCCGUGAAAUCUCCCAGCUCAACUGGGAGGGGUCGGGCGAGACUGCGAGGCUCGAGGUGGGCAGAGGGCAGUGGAAUUCCGGGUGUAGUGGUGGAAUGCGUAGAGAUCCGGAGGAACACCAGUGGCGAAGGCGGCUGCCUGGGCCUGGCCUGACGCUGAGGCGCGAAAGCGUGGGGAGCAAUCCGG
rnacentral:rRNA from 1 species